UACGGAGGGGGCUAGCGUUGUUCGGAAUUACUGGGCGUAAAGCGCGCGUAGGCGGCCUUGUAAGUUAGAGGUGAAAGCCCAGGGCUCAACCCUGGAAUUGCCUUUAAGACUGCAUCGCUUGAACAUCGGAGAGGUAAGUGGAAUUCCGAGUGUAGAGGUGAAAUUCGUAGAUAUUCGGAAGAACACCAGUGGCGAAGGCGACUUACUGGACGAUUGUUGACGCUGAGGUGCGAAAGCGUGGGGAGCAAACAGG
rnacentral:rRNA from 1 species